ACGUGGCCCGGACGCGGGCCGGAGCUCGGCUCACUUGCAAGCCUCUCCGCGCUGGCUUCCAAGCCUAGACCCCCGCGCACCGGGCUGCAAGGGAUCUGCAUGGGAUCCCGCUGCUAACCAGGAACUUGGGUGGCGCUGUUUGCAGUCUAUUCCAGGACAGGAGAGAGAGAGGAGAAAGCAGGACCCCCCCCCCCGCCCGGGUCCCUCCUCCCGCCCCAUCCUCUUGGUUGAUCACAGUGAAAUCUCCACAUUUAUGCAGCACAAGUUCACUGAGCCCUUUACCCAGUCGAGCUCGCGGCUGGAGACAGUGGAGGUGGCAAACACGGAUUUUGACCUUGAAUUUACAAGGACCUUUGGGAAGGAGCCAACGAGGCCAACCAGAAGACCGCCUUCAGCAGAAAGUCUAACAGGGCCACUGGCAGGGAAUAUAAGAUGAGAAAGUUUUCAUUUAAUACUAACCAAGAGGUUUAGGUAGUAGGGGUUAACCCACAGGCCGGUGCGCGGGGCACAAAGGGGCAGCACCAGGGGCCCCAGCUCUCUUCAAUCUCGCGGAGGCCGCCCGGCCCCACCCCCACCGACCUGCAUUGGAAAAAUCUGGUCUCUUUGACCUUCUAACAGCCCGGAGCUGGGAAAGCAUCUGAAACGCAGAACCUGCGGCGCUGUGAGCGGCGCUGACACACAGCAAGGGGCCAGUGGAAAUUCAUGACUAAAAUAAGGCCUGGCUGGGGAUUUCACUGACCUCUGCGCUCCCCUGCCCUGCAAGUUCGGAGAGUUGAGAGAUGACUGUUAACCUUCCCUACCGUGCUUAGGGUCAGUCAACCCGCUGCGGAGUGACCUGGCUGGGAAAUUGGGGGAAAAUGAGGUCACUGCUAGAACUGGGCGCAGUUUGGUGGGUCAGUCGUCAUUGUCAGUGUUCUGACGACCUGGAGGACUGGGAUUCGCAUGUUGAUCAAACUGGGAGUGCAUUUCCUUCAGGUCGCUCAAGCUUCUACUUCCUGUUUAUGUUUCACAAGCGUCAAACCCAUUAGUAAGUGUGAGAAAUGAUUGCUUUUCUAACUGUUCACUGGCUGACCUCACUUUGGGGCUUAGAGAUCCAUCCCUCCUCCCCAGACAGACAUAGUUUGGCUGACAGGUUAUAAUCAAUCUCCCUGGAGGGAAUGAAUGCUCCCACCUUCCUGCCAGGAGGUGAGCAGCAGGACCAGAGGUUUGGAUGUGUCCUGGCACUCUUGAGGUAGGGUGGGAGUGAGGAAGGGCUGCCACCUUCCUGUGACUCUAAGGGGGAAGCGUUGUCAUGGUUGCGCCAAAACUACAGUUCCACUAGGAAAUACCCUCUGUCAGAGAAAGGAGGAUAUGUCCUCUCUUGUGUCCCCGGCCCCUUCCCCCCAGGAGUUAAUCUCUGCAAUUUUGCCUGCAUGGUUCAUGGUUCAGGAAAAUAACAUCCUUAAAAUCAUUUAAUCAGUAACUUUCCAUCGUUACUUGCUCUGUAGCUGUAAAUAACAAAAUAUGUAAAUUGUUCAAUUAAAAAAAAAUUUUUUUAAGUUAUUUACAAGCUCCCUACAUCAGGUAGGCGUUGAUCUCGAAAUCCUCCUGCCUCAGCUUCCUGAGUUCUGAACAUUGUAGACAUAAACUAAUUCCUACUUUUUAUUUGUUCCAAAUAUACUCCCAGGCUUUAACAUUA
rnacentral:lncRNA from 1 species